AGCAAAUAGAUACCCAGGUAGUCCACGCCGUAAACGAUGAAUACUAGGUGUAGGAGGUAUCGACCCCUUCUGUGCCGCAGUUAAACACAAUAAGUAUUCCGCCUGGGGAGUACGAUCGCAAGAUUAAAACUCAAAGGAAUUGACGGGGGCCCGCACAAGCAGCGGAGCAUGUGGUUUAAUUCGAAGCAACGCGAAGAACCUUACCUAGACUUGACAUCUCCUGAAUUACCCUUAACCGGGGAAGCCCUUCGGGGCAGGAAGACAGGUGGUGCAUGGUUGUCGUCAGCUCGUGUCGUGAGAUGUUGGGUUAAGUCCCGCAACGAGCGCAACCCUUAUCAUUAGUUGCUACCAUUAAGUUGAGCACUCUAGUGAGACUGCCACGGUUAACGUGGAGGAAGGUGGGGAUGACGUCAAAUCAUCAUGCCCCUUAUGUCUAGGGCUACACACGUGCUACAAUGGUGAGUACAAAGAGAUGCAAUACCGUGAGGUGGAGCUAAACUCAAAAACUCAUCCCAGUUCGGAUUGUAGGCUGAAACUCGCC
rnacentral:rRNA from 1 species